rnacentral:misc_RNA from 1 species
GAUGAAGAACGCAGAAAAAUGCGAUAAGUAAUGUGAAUUGCAGAAUUCAGUGAAUCAUCGAAUCUUUGAACGCACAUUGCGCCCGCCAGUAUUCUGGCGGGCAUGCCUGUUCGAGCGUCAUUUCAACCAUCAAGCCCCAGGCUUGUGUUGGGGACCUGCGGCUGCCGCAGGCCCUGAAAACCAGUGGCGGGCUCGCUGUCACACCGGGCGUAGUAGAUUUUAUCUCGCUCAGGGCGUGCUGCGGGUUCCGGCCGUUAAAAAGCCUUUUUUACCCAAGGUUGACCUCGGAUCAGGUAGGAAGACCCGCUGAACUUAAGCAUAUCAAUAAGCGGAGGA